rnacentral:rRNA from 1 species
AUUGAACGCUGGCGGCAUGCCUUACACAUGCAAGUCGAACGGCAGCACGGGUGCUUGCACCUGGUGGCGAGUGGCGAACGGGUGAGUAAUACAUCGGAACGUACCUUAUCGUGGGGGAUAACGCAGCGAAAGCUGUGCUAAUUACGCAUACGCCCUGAGGGGGAAAGCGGGGGAUCGAAAGACCUCGCGCGACUAGAGCGGCCGAUGCCUGAUUAGCUGGUUGGUGGGGUAAGAGCCCACCAAGGCGACGAUCAGUAGCUGGUCUGAGAGGACGAUCAGCCACACUGGGACUGAGACACGGCCCAGACUCCUACGGGAGGCAGCAGUGGGGAAUUUUGGACAAUGGGGGCAACCCUGAUCCAGCAAUGCCGCGUGAGUGAAGAAGGCCUUCGGGUUGUAAAGCUCUUUUGUCAGGGAAGAAACACCGGCUCUAACACAGUCCGGGAAUGACGGUACCUGAAGAAUAAGCACCGGCUAACUACGUGCCAGCAGCCGCGGUAA